ensembl:snRNA
GUAUUGUUUGAAAGGGGGGAAGGUUAGCACUCCCCUUGAAAAGGAUAGAAGAGGUCCUUGUGGCUUGUACCAUGCAUGUACGCUGAAGGCAUUGCCACUCUGUAGCAUCUGGCACUUUUG